AGACCCGAAACCCGGUGAUCUAGCCAUGGGCAGGUUGAAGGUUGGGUAACACUAACUGGAGGACCGAACCGACUAAUGUUGAAAAAUUAGCGGAUGACCUGUGGCUGGGGGUGAAAGGCCAAUCAAACCGGGAGAUAGCUGGUUCUCCCCGAAAGCUAUUUAGGUAGCGCCUCGUGAAUUCAUCUCCGGGGGUAGAGCACUGUUUCGGCUAGGGGGCCAUCCCGGCUUACCAACCCGAUGCAAACUGCGAAUACCGGAGAAUGUUAUCACGGGAGACACACGGCGGGUGCUAACGUCCGUCGUGAAGAGGGAAACAACCCAGACCGCCAGCUAAGGUCCCAAAGUCAUGGUUAAGUGGGAAACGAUGUGGGAAGGCCCAGACAGCCAGGAUGUUGGCUUAGAAGCAGCCAUCAUUUAAAGAAAGCGUAAUAGCUCACUGGUCGAGUCGGCCUGCGCGGAAGAUGUAACGGGGCUAAACCAUGCACCGAAGCUGCGGCAGCGACACUGUGUGUUGUUGGGUAGGGGAGCGUUCUGUAAGCCUGUGAAGGUGUGUCGUGAGGCAUGCUGGAGGUAUCAGAAGUGCGAAUGCUGACAUAAGUAACGAUAAAGCGGGUGAAAAGCCCGCUCGCCGGAAGACCAAGGGUUCCUGUCCAACGUUAAUCGGGGCAGGGUGAGUCGACCCCUAAGGCGAGGCCGAAAGGCGUAGUCGAUGGGAAACGGGUUAAUAUUCCCGUACUUGGUGUUACUGCGAAGGGGGGACGGAGAAGGCUAUGUUGGCCGGGCGACGGUUGUCCCGGUUUAAGCGUGUAGGCUGGUUUUCCAGGCAAAUCCGGAAAAUCAAGGCUGAGGCGUGACGACGAGGCACUACGGUGCUGAAGCAACAAAUGCCCUGCUUCCAGGAAAAGCCUCUAAGCAUCAGGUAACAUCAAAUCGUACCCCAAACCGACACAGGUGGUCAGGUAGAGAAUACCAAGGCGCUUGAGAGAACUCGGGUGAAGGAACUAGGCAAAAUGGUGCCGUAACUUCGGGAGAAGGCACGCUGACACGUAGGUGAAGUGAUUUACUCAUGGAGCUGAAGUCAGUCGAAGAUACCAGCUGGCUGCAACUGUUUAUUAAAAACACAGCACUGUGCAAACACGAAAGUGGACGUAUACGGUGUGACGCCUGCCCGGUGCCGGAAGGUUAAUUGAUGGGGUCAGCGCAAGCGAAGCUCCUGAUCGAAGCCCCGGUAAACGGCGGCCGUAACUAUAACGGUCCUAAGGUAGCGAAAUUCCUUGUCGGGUAAGUUCCGACCUGCACGAAUGGCGUAAUGAUGGCCAGGCUGUCUCCACCCGAGACUCAGUGAAAUUGAACUCGCUGUGAAGAUGCAGUGUACCCGCGGCAAGACGGAAAGACCCCGUGAACCUUUACUAUAGCUUGACACUGAACAUUGAGCCUUGAUGUGUAG
rnacentral:rRNA from 1 species